AACGAACGCUGGCGGCAGGCUUAACACAUGCAAGUCGAACGCCCCGCAAGGGGAGUGGCAGACGGGUGAGUAACGCGUGGGAACAUACCCUUUCCUGCGGAAUAGCUCCGGGAAACUGGAAUUAAUACCGCAUACGCCCUACGGGGGAAAGAUUUAUCGGGGAAGGAUUGGCCCGCGUUGGAUUAGCUAGUUGGUGGGGUAAAGGCCUACCAAGGCGACGAUCCAUAGCUGGUCUGAGAGGAUGAUCAGCCACAUUGGGACUGAGACACGGCCCAAACUCCUACGGGAGGCAGCAGUGGGGAAUAUUGGACAAUGGGCGCAAGCCUGAUCCAGCCAUGCCGCGUGAGUGAUGAAGGCCUUAGGGUUGUAAAGCUCUUUCACCGAUGAAGAUAAGGACGGUAGUCGGAGAAGAAGCCCCGGCUAACUUCGU
rnacentral:rRNA from 1 species